UACGGGGGGAGCAAGCGUUGUUCGGAUUUACUGGGCGUAAAGGGCGCGUAGGCGGUCAGCACAAGUCAGUUGUGAAAUCUCCGGGCUUAACUCGGAAAGGUCAACUGAUACUGUGCGACUAGAGUGCGGAAGGGGCAACUGGAAUUCUUGGUGUAGCGGUGAAAUGCGUAGAUAUCUGGAGGAACACCGGUGGCGAAGGCGGCAUCCUGGACCAACACUGACGCUGAGGAGCGAAAGCCAGGGGAGCAAACGGG
rnacentral:rRNA from 1 species